UAUUUAUGUAUUUAUUUAUUUAUGUAUGUAUUUAUUUAUUUUGCAGAUGUAGUGGCUCGUCCAGCAAUAACCAACCAAACAAGCCAUGUUUCUGAUUGUUGAAUGUUAUCAGGUUCUAUAUAAACAACAAAGUUCUUACAUCAUUCUCCAUAAUUCAGGAGAAAGUGUUAGAAUGUAAAAACAUAAACCACAUAUAACCUUUGCUCUUGUAUCCUCCUGUCUGCUAAUGGUCUUUUUUCAUAUUUAGUAUCAACCAAAUCCAAAAGGCAAAAAUGCAAUUGGAGAUGAGAGUCAGCCCUCCGCUCAGAUUAGCCACAUUUCUCAUGGAUUGGCAGAUCUAUGAGAUACAAAAUGAACAAGAAUUGAUCCUAUCCUUUGUGAUGAUGGCUUCGCUGCUGCAGCAAAGAAGAUAAAUGGUGGCUUCAGACUAUGAUUAACCCAAAAUGAACUGUUUUAGUCGGUGCCCAGCAGAGCUUCCCAUUAACUGAUUCCAACCAGAAGCCAGAGGUCAAGGGAACCUGGCUAAUAUAGCCAGUAGAGGUCACAGAGAGCAUAGAAGUCUUCUCCCUUUUACCUUGAAAAAUGUUUAAUGCAAUGAUAAAGAGCCUGCCCAAGAGUUUAAAAUACAAUAAACACAAGAACGUACAUCAAUUGUUGAUCCCAUCUGAUGGCAGUCUGUCCUUGAGCAUAUAGCUAAAAGGAUUUUCUCUGUAUCAAGUGGCACAACUACGGUGGACAUUCUGGAAACCAGGUAGGUGGCUGAGUUCCUCACUGCCAUGUAGGAAGCAGUGAGGGCCUGGGGGCUGUGGGUUAACAGCUGACUUUGAUAAUACCUG
rnacentral:lncRNA from 1 species